UAAUGGGAUCUGAACAUACUGUUAUUUGUUUUGGGGCAGUAGGCAUCAAUGCUCCACUGAGCUCGACUGACGUUGAGUUUAUUCCAGUUUUUCUGCAAAUGUUGUAUUCGUUAUGUUA